rnacentral:lncRNA from 1 species
CUUCCAGGAAAUGAAAGGAACAGGACAAAAUUAUGGGGCGUCUUAGGACUCUGUUAAGCUAGAGUUGUUUUGAAGCUAAUGCUAGACAUGUGCACCUGGAGUGAAAAAUGUUUUAGCAUCUUUUUCAGGAUUCACUCCCUCCUGCCCUCCAUCAUUCUCCUGUCUCAAUGCAUAGUACAGUUCUUAGAUAUAUACUCCCUUUCCCCAAAAAAAUCCCUAAUCAGAAGGACUGUGAUGGUUAUAGAGGCCUACUGCUGGUGAUCUGGCUUAGCUGAGGUCAGUUUUCCCAGUGGAUAAUGCUGAUCCUUUCCCUUCCUUCUCUCCCACCAAAGAGUCUGUCCUCAGUCAGUUUCUCUGCCCCUGCACUAAGCUAUCCUUUUACUACAUAUUCUGUUCCACCGUCUUGGUUCCCAGCUUCUGAAAGACAAAACUGAUGUCUUCUCUGGUCCUCCAAAUAUUUUUUUCCCUAACUUUAAAUUGGCUCACAUAGUUACUUUGUCUUUGCA